GCCCCAUCAGUUGAUAGAGCAUGAGACUCUUAAUCGCAGGGUUGUGGGUUCGAGCCCCAUGUUGGGCA